rnacentral:rRNA from 1 species
GACGAACGCUGGCGGCGUGCUUAACACAUGCGAGUCGAACGGUGAAGCGCCUUCCUUUUUGGUGGGUGUGGAUGAGUGGCGAACGGGUGAGUAACACGUGAGUAACCUGCCCCCUUCUUCUGGAUAACCGCAUGAAAGUGUGGCUAAUACGGGAUAUUCUGGGUCUGUCGCAUGAUGGGUCUGGGAAAGAUAUUGUUUCGGUGGGGGAUGGGCUCGCGGCCUAUCAGCUUGUUGGUGGGGUGAUGGCCUACCAAGGCGGUGACGGGUAGCCGGCCUGAGAGGGUGGACGGUCACAGGGGGACUGAGACACGGCCCGGACCCCUAGGGGGGGCAGCGGGGGGGAAUAGUGCACAAGGGGCGCAAGCCUGAUGCAGCGACGCCGCGUGGGGGAGGGGGGCCGUCGGGUUGUGAACCUCUUUCGCCAGUGAAGCAGGCCUGCCUCUGUUGGGGGUGGGUUGACGGUAGCUGGAUAAGAAGCGCCGGCUAACUACGU